AAAUUGACGGGGACCCGCACAAGCGGUGGAUGAUGUGGAUUAAUUCGAUGCAACGCGAAAACCUUACCUACCCUUGACAUGUCCGGAAUCCCGAAGAGAUUUGGGAGUGCUCGCAAGAGAACCGGAACACAGGUGCUGCAUGGCUGUCGUCAGCUCGUGUCGUGAGAUGUUGGGUUAAGUCCCGCAACGAGCGCAACCCUUGUCAUUAGUUGCCAUCAUUUGGUUGGGCACUCUAAUGAGACUGCCGGUGACAAACCGGAGGAAGGUGGGGAUGACGCCAAGUCCUCAUGGCCCUUAUGGGUAGGGCUUCACACGUCAUACAAUGGUCGGUACAGAGGGUUGCCAACCCGCGAGGGGGAGCUAAUCCCACAAAGCCGAUCGUAGUCCGGAUCGCAGUCUGCAACUCGACUGCGUGAAGUCGGAAUCGCUAGUAAUCGUGGAUCAGCAUGUCACGGUGAAUACGUUCCCGGGUCUU
rnacentral:rRNA from 1 species